rnacentral:rRNA from 1 species
UUCGCAAUGCCCGAAAGGGUGACGAAGCGACGCCGCGUGCGGGAAGAAGGCCUUCGGGUUGUAAACCGCUGUCGGGAGUUAAGAAAUGCAAGGAUAUUAAUAGUGUCUUUGUUUGACUAAGGCUCCGGAGGAAGCCACGGCUAACUCUGUGCCAGCAGCCGCGGUAAUACAGAGGCGGCAAGCGUUGUUCGGAAUUAUUGGGCGUAAAGAGCACGUAGGCGGCUAUGUAAGUCGGUUGUGAAAGCCUUCCGCUCAACGGAAGAACAGCAUCCGAUACUACAUGGCUUGAGUGCGGGAGGGGAGAGUGGAACUUCUGGUGGAGCGGUGAAAUGCGUAGAUAUCAGAAGGAACGCCGGCGGCGAAAGCGGCUCUCUGGCCCAUAACUGACGCUGAGUGUGCGAAAGCUAGGGGAGCAAACGGGAUUAGAUACCCCGGUAGUCCUAGCCGUAAACGAUGGGCACUAAGUAGAGGGGUUUU